rnacentral:rRNA from 1 species
GAUGAACGCUAGCGGCAGGCUUAAUACAUGCAAGUCGAGGGGUAGCAAGAUUGUAGCAAUACAAUUGUUGACGACCGGCAAACGGGUGCGGAACACGUACACAACCUUCCUACAAGUGGGGAAUAGACCAGAGAAAUUUGGAUUAAUACCCCGUAACCUAGCGAUGUGGCAUCACAUUGCUAUUAUAGCUUCGGCGCUUGUUGAUGGGUGUGCGGCUGAUUAGAUAGUUGGCGGGGUAACGGCCCACCAAGUCUACGAUCAGUAGCUGAUGUGAGAGCAUGAUCAGCCACACGGACACUGAGACACGGGCCCGACUCCUACGGGAGGCAGCAGUAAGGAAUAUUGGACAAUGGACGCAAGUCUGAUCCAGCCAUGCCGCGUGAAGGAUUAAGGUCCUCUGGAUUGUAAACUUCUUUUAUAAGGGACGAAAAAAGGUCUUUCUAGAUCGUCUGACGGUACCUUAUGAAUAAGCACCGGCUAACUCCGUGCCAGCCGCCGCCGUAACAC